UACAGAGGCCUCGAGCGUUGUUCGGAAUUACUGGGCGUAAAGGGAAUGUAGGUGGUGACGUAAGUCAGAUGUGAAAGCCCCGGGCUUAACCUGGGAAGUGCAUUUGAUACUGCGUUGCUUGAGUGCGAGAGAGGAAAGGGGAAUUCCCAGUGUAGGAGUGAAAUCCGUAGAUAUUGGGAGGAAUACCGAUGGCGAAGGCACCUUUCUGGCUCGUAACUGACACUGAGAUUCGAAAGCGUGGGUAGCAAACAGG
rnacentral:rRNA from 1 species